CUACACGAUCACGCCAAGUUGAGGGAGAGCAGAACCAUCUAUCAUUUGGGAAUGGCGGGAUCAAGCAGACAAUGAAUGCGCCGAGGUACGAAGCGCGAGGUUUCUCUCUGGAUCCCGAGAUGGAGAAGAUUUGGUGCAUUUUCUUGCUGGUGUCGACCUGUGCCGGCGUCUCAUUCCACGCCACGCUGCACCGCAGCGGUGCGCUAUUGACGACUGAUGCGCAUUGGUACACACAGACUCUGGAUCACUACGCGACUCAAGACGAUAGAACUUUUUCUCAGCGCUACUAUGAGUUUACGGACUACUUCGAUGCUCCCAACGGGCCAGUGUUUCUCAAGAUAUGUCCCGAGGGACCGUGUGUAGGGAUCCAAAACGAUUACAGUGCGGUGCUAGCGAAAAGGUUUGGAGCCGCGAUUGUUUCUCUUGAGCACCGAUACUAUGGACAAAGCUCGCCAUUCAAAACUCACGCGACAGAGAACUUGAUUUAUCUAUCUUCCAAGCAGGCUCUUUACGAUCUCGCAGCAUUUCGUGAAUACUACCAGGACCUGAUUAAUCAUAGGACCAACUCUACCAGGGACAAUCCUUGGAUUGUAAUUGGAUGGUCAUACGCUGGAGCCUUGAGUGCCUGGUUUAAGCUGAAGUUUCCACAUUUAGCGGUUGGAAGCGUUGCAAGCUCUGGUAUUGUCCAAGCAAUUUUCGAGUUCACUAAGCUCGACGAGCAGGUUGCCGAAUCCGCCGGUGCUACCUGUAGCGCUGCUUUGCGUGCCGUGACCCGUUUAGCAGAACAAGGCCUGAAGAAAAACUCUGUGUUUACGAAAGCAUUGUUCAAUGCUGAACAGCUCGACGUGGAUGGAGAUUUCCUGUAUUUGCUAGCUGAGGCUGCGACCACUGCGUUUCAGUAUGGUAAUCCAGAAAUCUUGUGUUCGCCACUUGUUGCUGCGUAUAAACGUGACGAGGAUCUACUGGCUGUGUAUGCGAAGUAUGUCAAAGAUUACUACAUAGACACAUUUAAAUCGAGCAUCAAUACUUAUGAUCAAAAGCACUUGAAAGAAAACUUGGCUGCAGGAGAUCAUUCGAGUGAUAGAUUAUGGUGGUACCAAAUGUGCACCGAAUUGGGGUACUUUCAAGUGGCGCCUGCAAACAAUAGCAUUCGCUCUGCUCUCAUCAAUGUCAAGUACCAUUUGGAUUUAUGCUCCAACGUCUUCGGGAACGGCACAUUCCCAGAAGUCGAUAGCACGAACCUUUACUAUGGGGGAAACAGAGGAGAUAAGAUUUUGUUUAUGAACGGCUCCCAAGAUCCUUGGCGUCAUGCCUCCAAGCAAACUUCUUCCCGCAAUGAGCCCGCAUAUGUGAUAAAGUGUCAAAACUGCGGUCAUGGAGUUGAUAUGCUAGGCUGUCCGCAGUCCCCGCCUCAAAUCGGAGGAAACACCUCGAAGUGUGCCGACCCGGAGGCUGCACAAGCGGGUCAGAGGAUCAUAGCGACUUACAUCUCCCGCUGGCUCGAAGACGCGAAUGGCUCUGUAAAGUACAUGUAAAUCCUUGCUAGUUUUCGAGAUGCAAAGUUCAUGUUCAUGGUCAUAAUCCUUUUAUUUCCUCCGACAAAAACUCAAGAAGAAAACCAUCUUUUGCUGAACUGCAUUUGCAAAAAAGAAGAGAACCCUAUCGCUCCAGUUUUGUGGUGAGAUCACUGCCACAAGUGAUUUCCUCGAUACUUUCUUGUCAGGGCGCUCCAUAUAAGCCGAGCUUUGAGUGAAAUUCUUGAGAGUUUAGAAACAGCAAUAACAGCUUUCUUUCUCCU